UGUAAUCUUCGUUCUAAUGGCGCAACUCCUCCCACUCAUUCAUAAUCCGACCUCCGCGUUUGCACUCGCUGCCUACAAGAGCGCCCAAAUUUGAACAUCACUGAUGUUCAUCGGAUUUACAGAGUGACGACAACCCCCGUCAGCAUGUUAGAUAAAGGAUUUAAGUUAUAUGCUGCAUCAUAUAUACACAACUACGAAGUGUCCAAAAAACACAGGUUGACAGGGGAAGUCGGUGUGAGAGCCCUGUGCUACAGGUCAAUGAGGAAGAGUGAGGCACCACACAGACUAAGUGUAGGCAGGAAGCUGUGUAAAGUUGUUAAUCCCUGUUCAGUGGGGUUCAGUUCAUUUAAGCAUUAGUUAAGUUCAUUCCUGAAGGCCCAUCAACUUGAAUGUUUUCCUUGUCCCCCUGCUUUAUCACACCUAAUUUGACUAGUCAGAUGUGUUUGGGUGAUCAGAAACAAAUUUACACCAAGUUAAUACUGCAAAUAUACACAAUCUAAGUUAUUACAGUUAUCAAGGAUGGUUAAAUUGUUUUAAUAGGGAGAGAAGGAAACACUAAGCAUUCAGGAGGGUAAGCCUGUAGGGGUCAGUAACCAUAACACUGAACUAUGUUCCUGUUCGGCUCUUCCAUGAAGAUGAUGUUACAUUUUUAAUUUUAGUUCUUUCUUCUUAGAUUAAGCUUCUGGAUUCAUCGCCGGUGGUACUGACACAUAGCCAGUGCUCCUGUGUGGCAGGUGCUGUUAUGUGCAAUCACACAGUGGCACUGCUCUUCCAAACAGCACACUACUCACAACUCAGAGUGCCGGUUGUCCCCCUGUGCAUAGCUGCACCGAAUCUGAACAGCAAUGGCACAAGCCACGGACAGUGGGUGUGAAGCCAGGACCUAUCAACUCUAUGAUCUUCACUAAGCCGGUACCAAAUAGGAUGGCCCAGACUGGAGUACGGAGUGGAUUCUACAGAGGCAUUGUGGGUCCAUUACCAGAUCCCUGACCUGACAAGCCCCUUGUGGAAAGUGCCUUUGGGCUGGUGCAGGAGGGCAGUGUUCUGUCAUGUCAGCAGCCGGUUUUGACAACCCGGUACAUCACACUACACCGUGAUGCACCACCAACACCGCACUUGCCUCUGGAGUAUGGGUAUGACAUCAAGGAAACCCUGCUCGCUCAGACAGCCUGUGAUAUUUUCUCAAACCGCUGCGCUGAACAAGUUUCCAAAGAACAUGCUGUGUGACACAAUAAAUAUCCUUUAACCUGUUAACCUGUGGCUUCUGGAAGAAACUCGGGUGAGUCAGUCACUGCAAACACAUUUGUAUCAUCAAGUGUUUGUCAAAUGAAAAUGAUAUGUUUUUCUACACUUAGGAUAAUUUUCUAUGUUGCAGUGCAGUAAAGUGCACGUUUCUUCUGUGUUCAAUCAUACAUGUUCUAAUUGUUAUAAACAGAAAAAAUCUUUUCUUACUUAACUGCUUGAUUCUUAACUUGUUUAACUGAAACAUGAUGAAAUGUCAUAGUAU